AGAUAAAUAAACUGAAUUGAUUAAACUCAAUUUACAGUUAUUGAUGAACUACAGUAGAUUUGGAAAGAUAUUUCAACUUAGAAAAAAUCCCACAGAUUUCCCCUCUGCCACUCCCCACCCUUCCCCAGACUCCACUCUCAGUGCCAACGUAGCAAUUUUACUUCUAGAAUUCAUUGAUGGAGAAAAUUCUAUGCACAGAUUCAGAAAUCCGUUGCUGAGACACAAAUGCCACCACACACCCCUCCUCUCCCUGCCCACAGUCCGGUGUGAAGCACACAUCCUGGGAACUGCUGGAAUCAUUUAAGGAGCCCAUUUUAAGGAGAGAUCAAUAGAAGAUAAUAAAUUAAGUUUUCCAAAGUAUCUUGAACUACAUUGAGGAAAUAUCUGGAAACGUGUAGAAGCAGGUGAACAGUAUGUGUGAUGACAGGAUAAAUUAUUACAGGAACAGAAAGUUAUAAGAGUGAUAGAAGAAAUUGACCUGGGCUUUGCCAGCUGCUGACAAUUCUCCAGAACUACCAGGAGAACUGACUUACACACUCUUCUGGGUCUCCCAUUGCAAGGAGAUGGGCUUUCUGGAACACUGUUGAGCUGAAGGCACCUGAGUGUUGUUACAUUUGCCACAAGAACUAGGAGAACUCAAAGUCUGUAGUGUAUCAAGAAAAGAUAUAUUUGACUGAUAACCAAGAAGUUACGUAACUUACGAAAGAAAUAGAGCCAGAGGCUCACUGCAACACUGUCAUCAAGGUCUACUCAGGAGAGACCUGGUCCAGUAGACCCCUUGAAAUGAUGCAGCAGAUGAGGAGCUUCUGAGAACGACUCUGAACUUCAGGGAGUAUUUGAAAGAGCCAUUCAACCCAGGAACAGACAAGAAAGAGAGCUGAAACCUUUGUGACAAUGCUGGAAAAUUAGCAAUGAGUGAAGUAUUAUACAACAACACGGUUUUGCUUUUUAGAAGCUCCUGGUUUUUUAAAGUUUGAUAUGGAGGCAGAUAAUGUUUUUUAAAACAAACACAUGCCUACUUUAUAGGACUGCUUUAAUGUCAUCUACUGAAUAAUUUUAUAUUCAUGAAGUACUUUGAGCUCCUCAGGAAAUCUUUUUAAAAAAUGAAUAAAGAAAGAACUAGCUAUUUCUUUAACUCAUUCCAAGACUGAGUGAAACUUUUCAUUGUGAUUGAGGAAUAAGCAUUAAACAAAUAAUCUCAGAUUGAGACGUGUCACGAUGAUAGCUUUAUGUCUCUCUUUCACCGAUAAAUUCCAUGGAAACUUUGUAGGACCUUCAUGUUCUCAAAAGCCAGGCCAAAAUAUACACCCAGGAUGGAAUCUUUCUAAGGUGACGUGACAGGGAAGGCUCUUUGAGGAAGAGAUCUUUGCAGGAAGCCUGAAUGAAGUGAAGAAGUGAACCAUGUGCAUGUCUGAGGGAAGAGCAUUCCAGGCUGAGGGAACAGGAGGACCAAGACGCUGAGGUCCCCAGAGGGCAAGAGCUAUGUCUGCUUAAUCUGAAUCUAUAGUACCUAAAAUAAUGUCACUUGAUUGCAAAUAAAGAUGAUGACGACAAUGAUCACCCAGCAGCUGCUUCUCAGAAAAGGCUCAAGAAAAAUCCAUCCCACAAGCUUAAAACACAGUUGCACUGAGGCAACAUGUUACUAGCUCAUGGUAACUGCAGCCACUUUUCAGAAAGGCCCCAAAUCAUCUCAAAAGUACCGACAAGAGGAAGAGGUACUAACGUAUUCACUCCAGGCGACUUUAGGCGACACAUUAAUUCUGGAACAUGAAUAUAAAUAAAUAAUAAAUACAAUUGAAUUCAUCCCAAUCUAUCAUAGAACUUCUUUGACAACAUAAAAGUCAACAAAUAAAUCAGAAUAAUAGGAUUUUGACAAAACAAGACAUUUAUCUAUUCCCAG
ensembl:lncRNA